UACAGAGGGCCCAAGCGUUGUUCGGAUUCACUGGGCGUAAAGGGUGCGUAGGUGGCGGGGUAAGUCGGAUGUGAAAGCUCGGAGCUCAACUCCGAAAUGGCAUUGGAAACUACCCUGCUUGAGGGUCGGAGGGGGGACUGGAAUUCUCGGUGUAGCAGUGAAAUGCGUAGAUAUCGAGAGGAACACCAGUGGCGAAGGCGAGUCCCUGGACGACUCCUGACACUGAGGCGCGAAAGCUAGGGGAGCAAACAGG
rnacentral:rRNA from 1 species